rnacentral:rRNA from 1 species
GAUGAACGCUGGCGGCGUGCCUAAUACAUGCAAGUCGAGCGAACAGACGAGGAGCUUGCUCCUCUGACGGUAGCGGCGGACGUGUGAGUAAAACGUGGAGAACCUACCUAUAAGACUGGGAUAGCUUCGGGAAACCGGAGCUAAUACCGGAUAAUAUAUUGAACCGCAUGGUUCAAUAGUGAAAGACGGUUUUGCUGUCACUUAUAGAUGGAUCCGCGCCGCAUUAGCUAGUUGGUAAGGUAACGGCUUACCAAGGCAACGAUGCGUAGCCGACCUGAGAGGGUGAUCGGCCACACUGGAACUGAGACACGGUCCAGACUCCUACGGGAGGCCGCAGUAGGGAAUCUUGCGCAAUGGGCGAAAGCCUGACGGAGCAACGCCGCGUGAGUGAUGAAGGUCUUCGGAUCGUAAAACUCUGUUAUUAGGGAAGAACAAAUGUGUAAGUAACUAUGCACGUCUUGACGGUACCUACACAGAAAGCCACGGCUAACUACGUG